UGGGGAAUAUUGCACAAUGGGCGAAAGCCUGAUGCAGCAACGCCGCGUGAGUGAUGAAGGUCUUCGGAUUGUAAAGCUCUGUCUUUUGGGACGAUAAUGACGGUACCAAAGGAGGAAGCCACGGCUAACUACGUGCCAGCAGCCGCGGUAAUACGUAGGUGGCGAGCGUUGUCCGGAUUUACUGGGCGUAAAGGGUGCGUAGGCGGAUGUUUAAGUGAGAUGUGAAAUACCCGGGCUUAACUUGGGUGCUGCAUUUCAAACUGGAUAUCUAGAGUGCAGGAGAGGAGAAUGGAAUUCCUAGUGUAGCGGUGAAAUGCGUAGAGAUUAGGAAGAACACCAGUGGCGAAGGCGAUUCUCUGGACUGUAACUGACGCUGAGGCACGAAAGCGUGGGUAGCAAACAGGAUUAGAUACCCUGGUAGUCCACGCCGUAAAACGAUGAGUACUAGGUGUAGGAGGUAUCGACCCCUUCUGUGCCGCAGUAAAACACAUUAAGUACUCCGCCUGGGAAGUACGAUCGCAA
rnacentral:rRNA from 1 species